rnacentral:rRNA from 1 species
UAUCCGCCAGGGAACUACAAGCAAUAGCUUAAAACCCAAAGGACUUGGCGGUGCUUUAGAUCCACCUAGAGGAGCCUGUUCUGGAACCGAUAACCCCCGUUCAACCUCACCCUUCCUUGUUCUUCCCGCCUAUAUACCGCCGUCGUCAGCUUACCCUGUGAAGGUUUAAUAGUGAGCAAAACUGGCACAGCCCAGGACGUCAGGUCGAGGUGUAGCGUAUGGAGGGGGAAGAAAUGGGCUACAUUCGCUACCACAGCGAACACGAAACGUGUAAUGAAACGUACAUCUGAAGGAGGAUUUAGCAGUAAGCAGGAAAUAGAGCGUCCCGCUGAAAUUGGCCCUGAAGCGCGCACACACCGCCCGUCACUCUCCCCAAAAACAACCACCAGUUAAUUAAAACCUAAUAAUACUAAAGGGGAGGCAAGUCGUAACAUGGUAAGUGUACCGGAAGGUGCACUUGGAAAAAU